UACAGAGGUCCCGAGCGUUGUUCGGAUUCAUUGGGCGUAAAGGGUGCGUAGGCGGCGGGGCAAGUCUGAUGUGAAAUCCCGGGGCUCAACCCCGGAACUGCAUUGGAUACUGCCUUGCUUGAGUACUGGAGAGGGAGAUGGAAUUUACGGUGUAGCAGUGAAAUGCGUAGAGAUCGGGAGGAACACCAGAGGCGAAGGCGGCGACCUGGACAGUGACUGACACUCAACUGCGAAAGCGUGGGGAGCAAACAGG
rnacentral:rRNA from 1 species